GACGAACGCUGGCGGCGUGCUUAACACAUGCAAGUCGAACGGAAAGGCCCUGCUUUUGUGGGGUGCUCGAGUGGCGAACGGGUGGGUAACACGUGAGUAACCUGCCCUUGACUUUGGGAUAACUUCAGGAAACUGGGGCUAAUACCGGAUAGGAGCCCCUGCUGCAUGGUGGGGGUUGGAAAGUUUCGGCGGUUGGGGAUGGACUCGCGGCUUAUCAGCUUGUUGGUGGGGUAGUGGCUUACCAAGGCUUUGACGGGUAGCCGGCCUGAGAGGGUGACCGGCCACAUUGGGACUGAGAUACGGCCCAGACUCCUACGGGAGGCAGCAGUGGGGAAUAUUGCACAAUGGGCGGAAGCCUGAUGCAGCAACGCCGCGUGCGGGAUGACGGCCUUCGGGUUGUAAACCGCUUUCGCCUGUGACGAAGCGUGAGUGACGGUAAUGGGUAAAGAAGCACCGGCUAACUACGUG
rnacentral:rRNA from 1 species